GAGGAAAAGAGAAAGAAGAAAAUGGAAAGCAUGUUAAUUUGGCAGAUCAUGCAUGCGUCUUGGACUUUGAGAGAAAAAGGAAUGAAUGGAUGCGAAUGUGGUGAAGGCUACAGCGAUGGAACUUUGUAUGAGAAGGAACUUUGAAAAGGUCAGUUGCCGGCAAUUUUAUUAUUUUCAAUUCAUAUAAGUAAUAGCAUGUGUUCUUCUUUGGUGUGUUUGAUUUUCAAGGUUUUUGACUCUUGCUGCCAAACACUGCGCACACACUUCUCAAUUAUCCUCUCAUAAACAUUUUUAUAACUUAAUUAUUUUUUACUAUAACUAUCUUAAUGGUUUUUAAAUUUUCUUGGCAUAUGGUAAUGCAUAUUGGCCAAUGAUGCGGAUUUCUUCUAAUGAUAGGUUGCUCACAUGAUUCAUAAAGUGGCAUUUUACAGAAAAUGACACACUUGCUGCUACUAUUUAUCUAAAUAUAUGUCGUUGUAGCAACUAUUUGUUUGGUGGAUUAUGUCAACCAUUUGUUUGGAAGAAGAAAAACUAGUCUCCAAAUUAAUCUUAACAUCUGUUACUUAACGUAAAAGUCAUUUAAUUUCAAAAGGGUGUAAUUUUGGGUUAGAAGUCAAGUGCUUUAAUUUUCUUAAGAAUCAAACUUUGAAUUCAGUUUUAAAUUUAUUAUUAACAGGUUUCUAUUUCAACACAUGAAAAAUAUUUUAUGGUUCAUGUACAAUCUCUAAUUUGGUUCGUCAUAUACUUGCUGUGGUCCAUGCUGAAGUUCACCAAUAUUUUUUUUUUGACUAUUAUUAUAAACCCUCAUAUAAUUAUUAUCUUAGUAUAUGCUGAGAAAAAAAAUUAUAUUAGUGGAAUUAUAUUAAUUUAGGUAAAUAUAUUAUCAAAAUCAAUCUUAUUAAUGUACAAUUAAUGUGAUUUUAAUGUACAAUAUUCUGAUUUAUUUGAGUGCUCUGAUUUUCUUGCACAAUAUUGAUACUUAUUAAAUGUUCUGAUUGUAUUACGGAUACUACGAUUUAUAUACCUGAUAUUCAGAUUUAUUAAAAAAGACUAUGAUAUGCUAUAUGGAAAAAUCAGUAUCAAAGAUCCAAGUCAAUAAAAGCUUAUAAAUAGAUGACCACUCGCAGGAGUAAUCUCAACUCGAAUUUUGGCAAUAUAUACAGAAUUUAAUGUUCUUACUGACUUCAACAUCAAUGUAUUUUCUGCAGGUGAAACGCCCUCAUUUCUUUGGAGUCAAUUCAUGAAAACUUGAAAGAAAACUACACGAACCACCUCAGAUUUUGACAUGACCUCAUCUCG
rnacentral:lncRNA from 1 species